rnacentral:rRNA from 1 species
UAGGGAAUCUUCGGCAAUGGACGAAAGCCUGACCGAGCAACGCCGCGUGAGUGAAGAAGGUUUUCGGAUCGUAAAACUCUGUUGUUAGGGAAGAACAAGGACGCUAGAAAUGGAACGUCCCCUGACGGUAACUAAGCAGAAAGCCACGGCUAACUACGUGCCAGCAGCCGCGGUAAUACGGAGGUGGCAAGCGUUGUCCGGAAUGAUUGGGCGUAAAGCGAGCGUAGGCGGCAUCUUAAGUCUGAUGUGAAAGACCCCGGCUCAACCGGGGAGGGUCAGUGGAAACUAGGAGGCUAGAGUGCAGAAGAGGAGAGUGGAAUUCCAUGUGUAGCGGUGAAAUGCGUAGAUAUAUGGAGGAACACCAGUGGCGAAGGCGGCCCUCUGGUCUGUAACUGACGCUGAGGCUCGAAAGCGUGGGGAGCAAACAGG